GGCUCAGAUUGAACGCUGGCGGCGUGCUUAACACAUGCAAGUCGCGCGUGAAAGGACUUCGGUCCGAGUAAAGCGGCGCACGGGUGAGUAACGCGUGGAUGAUCUACCCAUGAGUUAGGAAUAACGGCUGGAAACGGUCGCUAAUACCAAAUACGCUCCGAUUUCAACUUCGGGGGAAAGGUGGCCUCUGCUUGCAAGCUACUGCUCAUGGAUGAGUCCGCGUCCCAUUAGCUAGUUGGUGGGGUAACGGCCCACCAAGGCGACGAUGGGUAGCCGGUCUGAGAGGAUGACCGGCCACACUGGGACUGGAACACGGCCCAGACUCCUACGGGAGGCAGCAGUGGGGAAUAUUGCGCAAUGGGCGAAAGCCUGACGCAGCGACGCCGCGUGAGGGAUGAAGGUCCUCGGAUCGUAAACCUCUGUCAGGAGGGAAGAACCGCCACGGUGCUAAUCAGCCGUGGUCUGACGGUACCUCCAAAGGAAGCACCGGCUAACUCCGUGCCAGCCGCUGC
rnacentral:rRNA from 1 species